CCGGGAAUCUUGCGCAAUGGACGAAAGUCUGACGCAGCGACACCGCGUGUGGGAUUAAGGUCUUCGGAUCGUAAACCACUGUGGCGAGGGAAGAAUUCUGACUGUACCUCGCUAGAAAGCACCUGCUAACCACGUGCCAGAAGCCUCGGUAAUACGUGGGGUGCAAGCGUUAUCCGGAUUUACUGGGCGUAAAGCGUCCGUCGGCGACUUGGCAAGUCUGUUGUUCAAGCCUGGGGCUUAACUCCAGAUCAGCAACAGAAACUGCCAGGAUUGAAUCUGUUCGGGGAAACUGGAAUUCUCAGUGGAGGGGUGAAAUCCGUAGAUAUUGAGAGGAACGCCAAUCGCGAAGGCAGGUUUCUAGGGCAGUAUUGACGCUCAGGGACGACAGCUAGGGUAGCAAAAGGGAUUAGAGACCCCUGUAGUCCUAGCCGUAAACAUUCCUUGCUAGUUGUUCCGCCUCUGGCGGAAUGACGCAAGCUAACGCGUUAAGCAAGGCG
rnacentral:rRNA from 1 species